rnacentral:rRNA from 1 species
GAGUGAACGCUGGCGGCGUGCUUAACACAUGCAAGUCGAACGAUGAAGCCUAGCUUGCUAGGUAGAUUAGUGGCGCACGGGUGAGUAAUAUAUAGAUAAUGUGCCUCUUAGUCUGGGAUAGUCAUUGGAAACGAUGAUUAAUACUAGAUACUCCUUUUAAACUUAAGUUUAAUUGGGAAAGUUUUUCGCUAAGAGAUCAGUCUAUAUCGCAUCAGUUAGUUGGUAGGGUAAUGGCCUACCAAGACAAUGACGCGUAGCGGGUUUGAGAGGAUGAUCCGCCACACUGGUACUGAGACACGGACCAGACUCCUACGGGAGGCAGCAGUGAGGAAUAUUGCACAAUGGGGGAAACCCUGAUGCAGCAACGCCGCGUGGAGGAUGACGCAUUUCGGUGUGUAAACUCCUUUUAU